UACGUAGGGUGCGAGCGUUAAUCGGAAUCUGGGCGUAAAGCGUGCGCAGGCGGUAAGUUAGUCUGAUGAUCGGAAAGCCCCGGGCUCAACCUGGGAAUGGCAUUGGAAACUGGCUUGCUAGAGUGUGGGCGAGAGGGGGGUGGAAUUCCGCGUGUAAGCAGUGAAAUGCGUAGAGAUGCGGAGGAACACCGAUGGCGAAGGCAGCCCCUGGGCCACACUGACGCUCAGGCACGAAAGCGUGGGGAGCAAACAGG
rnacentral:rRNA from 1 species